UUAAGUUGUUUAUAUUAUAAGAGAGUCUUUUCUCUCUCUUUGCUCUACCAUCUCUCUAGAAACCUCUUAGAUCUGAAAAUCGUUUUCGGUGACCGGUGGUUUUAUCGCCGCCGGUUACCAAUCUCUUUUUGUUUUUUGAUGUAAAAUACUUACUCGAUCUAUAGAUCGAUUUGUUUGCUUCGCUUUGGCGAAUUUUCACUUCGCGUUGGCGAUUUCUCUUUUCGCGUUUGGCGAGCUUUUGAGGUGUUAAUCCCAAUCAAAUCGGAACUGAUUAUCACUCUUAUGUUUCUUUCCGAUAUUUAUUGAGUAUAUAUAAAGAUCCCCCCUUUCACAACUAAUAUUAAUCCCGUUUGCUUUUGAGCUGGGUUCUCUCCUUCUGUGGUUUGCUCAGAUCCCUUUUCUACGGGUGUAAAGCUCACUCUUUUAAAGCUAUUUCUUAGCAUAUGAGUGACGUAUCACGUAUGAAAGGAAUGAUGGAGAUGUUGGUUUAUCUUGAUCGUUGUAUGAGGGAUUUAGUAGAGUUGGCAUCUUUCUUGACUGAAGAUGGUCCAAUAAAAAAUCUACUCUAAUUCGAUUAAGUUUUCCAUGUGGUCAAAUAACCAGAGAUUGUUGGGGUCUCAACUUGGAGCAACGGUUAUGGUGGAAGGGUAAGCUUAGAAAGUACAAUCCAUGGCAACAAUCGACGUGUUUGAACAAGAGAAAGAAAGCUCCGCCGGUGAGAAGACGGUUGGACGUCAUCGGAAACAUGAAGUAUGCCGGAGAAGCUGGAAUUUUCAAGAUGGAAGUCUCUUUGUUGACACGUGUUCUUGUUGUAAUAUAGUGUUUACACGUACCCUCUCUAUAAUGUGCGUGUUGCCUUAAUAUUGUACUCAUCUAAACUUAUGGGAAUUAAUAAAAUCUAAGGUUGACAAAAAAAAAAGAGUUGUUUAUAUUAUUCGGAAAACCAGUGCAAAUAACGCGUUUUUUUUGUUUUGAAAUAAUAUUCGAAUAAGACAUUAUGAAUAAAAUAUUCGCAAUAGUACUUUUUUUCCACGUUAACCACUACACAAUUCACAAGGCCUUGGUCUUUUCUAAUGUUGUCUAGAAGUUCUUGGUCUUACUUAUAUAAUAAAAUGAUACGAUCUUCUAUUAUAAAAAUAAGCCGAACCAAAUGUUCCACACCCAUGACUUCCAUUAUUCAAAAGUCCAUUUACAGGCUACGUCAUGGAGCUUAUGCUUCAACGUCUCAACAAUGAUGUCAUCAUUAAUCCUCAUUAAUCCGUACCGUUCAUUUUAUUUUGCCGUUGACCAUAUGGACCGUUCAAUGUUAACACCGACGGGCCUAUAAAGAGUAUCUUCAUAGUUUAACAAAAUAAAUAUAUCAGCAAAAUAAGUAUUUUCCGGUCUGAACUGUACGACGCCGUUGAAGUUUCUUGUGCCUAACAUGAGCUCGGAGAUGAAAGAGGAACGCCGCGAAGAAGAUAACGGUAAAGCUUGUGGUGAUGAGUACAGAGGGAAAUCGUCAACAGAAGUUGUACGUACGGUGACGGAGGAAGAGGUGGAUGAGUUUUUCAAGAUAUUACGGAGACUACACGUGGCGACACGGACUGUGGCGAGAGUUAACGGCGGUGACGCUGAACGUGAGUUACCUUCUAAGAAGAGGAAACGGAUUCAGAGUCUUGGCCUGAGGAGCUCAUUGGAUACCAACGAAGUUCAAGAUGGAGAAUCAGAUGGAAUAAAUCGGGUCGGGCUACGGAAUUUGGGUUUGGAUCUUAACUGUCAACCGGAAACCGAAGCAGUUAAAAUGUAAUCCUUCUUCAUAACUAAAAUAUUGUUCCAGUAAUCUAUUUUCAAUAUAACUAAAAUAUUUUUUUAUUAGGUGGUUCUAAAAAAAGUACUAAAAUAUUAUCCAAGUUCAGAUUCUGCUCUUUAAUCGAUUAGAAAAGUUAUAGAAUGAGACUUACGUCGUGUAAAAUGAUUCAUAUAAUCAUGAAUUUUUGUCGGCCAAAAAUUUCAUUUGAAGAACCCAAUCAUAUAAUGAAAAAUAAGACCCAAUUAUGUGAAACACCGACAAUAUAUAAUUUUUUUUCAGAAAAAAAAACACCAAUAAUAUAUAAAUGAUGAUUUUAGAAUAAUGUUAAUAAAUUUCAGUGAUGAUGAACAUUUUUUUUUCCGUCAAAUAACUCAAGAGAGUAGAGAGAGAAAGUAGAUUGGGUCCGGCGAGCGGCCGGCGCGUGAGCGUGCGUGCCGUCGCCGGAGCUCCUCGAGCUACCGUAAAAGAUGUUGGUCCUUCGCUUCUCUUUCGUUUCUUUUGACAUCCGUCUUGCCUGAGCUCUAGUUCAGGUCCCAUCCGUGGCGGAUCUGUUUCUGGAGUAAAGGCGCGGUCGUGUGGAGGUUCGGCACAGUGAAGCUAGUCGUCUUGCCAGUUGAUGUUUCGUGUCCGGGAGGUGGAGGCUCCUACAGCUCUGUCACCGCCAGUCCUUGUCUCCGGGAGGUGGAGGUUUCUUCAGCUCCGUCGUCGUCGGUUUUGUCUCCAGGGGUGAAGGCUCUCUCAAUCUUGCGUCGCCGGCUUUAGGUGUUUCAGUUCGUUGGAUCGGUUUUGGAUCCCGCUUGUUGUUCGUGUGUGGUUCUCGGUUCGUGGUUCCAAGUGGUUCACGGUUUUGUUCAGUCGGAUGAGAUCUCGAUUGGAUCGAUGAAGCUCUCCGAAGUGAAGACAAAUCGUUGAAGAGAAGAGUUGGUUUCGAUGGAGGUUCACAGUGGUGUAGCUCCGGCGACGGUCAAGUUGAGGCGGAAGAGACGCGUGUCAUCCUGACGGUGUUGAUCUUUACACGUGUCCAGCCUCCUUGACGCGUGGGCCUACCGAAAUCAUCUAGUUUCUUUUGUUUUGGGCCACUUAUAGAGUUUUGGGUUUGUUUUGGGCCACUUGUAGAGUUUUGGGUUUUCUGAUGUUUGUUUUGUUGGGCUUCGGCCUUCUAGUUAGGUUUGCUCCCGUUUUAUUAAUAUUAAAAACUUGAUGGAAAAAAAUAAAAAUUCAGUGAUGAACUGAUGAUAGAUAAUGGGCGGCGUCUACUGAAAUGAUUACUCCGGGAAAACCAUUUCAAAGCUGAAAUUAUUUGUGUAAAACCCAAAAUGAUUACUCCGGGAAAACCAAGACGCAAGACAGGUCUAAAACUACAGAUACAUGUGAACCAAUCUGCAAAAGAAAGAACAGGACUAAGAACAGUGUAACAAUCAAAACACUACUUCUUUUUGUUUACUUGAGAAAAAAAAAACGGCUCAUUGACUUCUACUACAAGGUCAAGCUAUCUGGAUUCUCAACGAUCUUUGCAAAGGUUUGAAGGAAAGCAGCCAAAUCAGCUCCGUAGACAAUACGAUGAUCUGCUGUCACAUUCACCUGGCAACACACAACAAAAGCCAAAGCUUAUUUCUAUUCACCAAACCCAUGAGGCAGAUUCUUGACAAUCUUAAUAAAAACCAACAAAGUCAAAUUCAGGCUUACCAGCAUUUUGUUUUUCACACUGAAGAACCCAUCCUUAUCAGCAACUACAGUUGGUUUCGAAGCUCCAACGGCCAUUAUAGCACCCUAGAGAUUCGAGUUAUAAACAAAGAUAAUUAGGCUGAGUUGUAAUCCCUGAUCUUGUUGAGACAUUGAAAUUUCAUAUACCUGUCCUGGAGGAAGAAUAGCAUCAAAUCUAUCCACUCCAAACAUACCGAGAUUCGAUAAAGUGAAAGUUCCUGCAUUGAAUACACAUGCAUCCUUAGCUCAGCACAUACACGCUUCUCGUUAAAGCAUAUGAACAGCUACUAUUGAAGAAAGUACCAGAGUUGUAUUCAUGAGGUUGCAAUUGCUUGCUUUUAGCUUUCCCCACCAGCUCUUUCCAUUUUUCAGAUAACAAGUACAAAUCCAACUAAAAACAACCAACAUGACUCGUACCAAUCAGUAACCGUAGACUAAAACCGUGUUCAAUCACAAAGCUACCUACUUUCUACAUCUCUCCACUGCAUUGAUUACCUUAUCAGCAUCUUGUAGAACAGGCGUAAUCAACCCGCCAUUGAUGGCAACAGCAACGGCAACGUUAAUGUUACUAUUGUAACUAAAAUCUUGUAGAACAGGCGUAAUCACCCCGCCAUUGAUGGCAACAGCAACGGCAACGUUAAUGUUACUAUUGUAACUAAAACUCUUUCCAUCUUUGCAGCUUGCGUUCACCACAGGAUGCUGAGCAAGAGCCAUCCCUGCAGCUUUAGCCAAUAAAGCAGUCAUUGUCACACCCUUUGGCUUCACCUGAAAAAAAAAAAAAAAGAGAUUAACAUUUGCUGAUACGAGUUUUAGAACAAUGUAUAUGCGUUUUCACCUUCUCGUAGAGUGCGUCGAGUGCAUCAGUGUUCACUGGGUAACCAACACGGAAGGUUGGAACGGAGAGGCUCUCAAUCAUGUUUUUGGAUACUGCUGAUUGCAUUGCUGUGAAGGGGACGAUGCUGGCGUCAGGUAAUAGAGGAGGCGAGCUAGUGGUGGUAGCUUUAGCUGUUGGUGCUGGUGCAGCUGCAGGAGAAGGAGGAGGAGGCGGUGGUGUCACGGUGGGAGCUAUACCAGCCGCCGCCUCCACGUCGGAAGCCGUGAUCCUACCGAAUGGUCCAGUUCCUGCAACGGAUCCGAUAUCCACUUUGUGCCUAUCCCAGCCGCCGCCUCCACGUCGGAAGCCGUGAUCCUACCGAAUGGUCCAGUUCCUGCAACGGAUCCGAUAUCCACUUUGUGCUGCUUCGCGAGCUUCUUAGCAUGCGGCGUCGCUACGGUUUUCCUCGGACCAUCUGACGCCGCUGCCGCCGGAGCGGGGGAUGAAGUAGCUGGAGGAGGAGAUGGAACAACGGCGGAGGAGGAAGGUUUCGAGGCGGCUUUGUUCUUAGCUUCUUCGAUUUCAGCCUCAGUCUCGGCCAGCAAUCCGAUUGCAGCGCCUACCGGAGCUGUUUCUCCUUCUCCAACGACGAUCGCGGCGAGAUAACCGUCGUAGAAGGUUUCUACAUCCAUAUCAGCCUUAUCGGACUCAACGACGACGACACUCUCUCCUUUGGCGAGUUUCUCGCCUUCGGUUUUGAUCCAGGAGACGAUUUUGCCUUCCGUCAUGGUGGAGGAUAGCGCCGGCAUGAAAAUCUCGCGAAUCUUGGAUCGGACCGUCAUUACUCUGCGGUGAGAAAACGGAGAGCAGAAAACGACGCGGCGGAGGGAAGGGAUGGGAGCCGGGGAGACGGAGGAAGCGAAUGAAAUGGUGGAUUUGGGAUUGGAUAGCGAAGCUGUUGAUAAAAACGAAGAAGAAGCCGCCAUUGUUGCUAUUCGAUAAAUCACAGUGAGCGAGAUCUGAGAGAUUUAGAGGAGUGAAGUGGACGGACGGAGAAGACGAGGUGGACGUUCGUUAAGCGUCUUCAGCUACACGUUGGCCUCGUUGUACCAAUUGGUAUUUAGUAACCGGAUAAUUAAACCAUCUUAUUUCAAUUUAAAAUUCCGGUUUUGUUAAACCAUUUGUGGCAGUGCCUAUAUCUGCUAACUAAUUCCCGAGUCGCGUAACUCUCGUAGCUAGGGAGAAAGAGGGGAAAACAAGCCAACUGAUUCCUAUUGAGCACAAACCCUAAUUUCGACGAUCUGAUGGAGAACGACAAGCAGAUCGAAUCUCACCACCGCAAGCACCACCGUUCGUCUUCACCGUCCGACGAGGCCGAUAAAUCAUCGAAGCGGCACAAGCACCGUCAUCACAAGCACCACCACAGGCGCCAUCACCGGCAUCACCGUGAUAAGAAGGGCGACGAUGAGACAGAGCUGAUGGAUGUUACUCCGAUUGGAGUUAGUCACGGCGGUGAGGAUGACGUUGAGGAGGGGGAGAUUCUAGAUGAAGAAGGGCUCGCCAAUGUUAAGACGCCAGAUUCCGACGACGAAUCAGGAGAAAUCAAAUCCGAUCAAUUUCAAGGCUACCAUCUGGUCUGUUCCAAUCGCUCUUCUUACGUCUUUUUGCUCAUAAAUUUCCUGUUUAUUUGGCUUAAAUUCUGUUUGGAUGCUGGGAUAAGAAUGAUCUGAUUGAUACCUGAGAUUUUUCCAUACGCAACUUGUUAUACACCUCAGUAUCCAAACAUCAUUUAUGCCUUUAUGGUUUUAUAUCAAGCUGAAUUUUCCGUUUUAUGAUAAAAGUUUUGGUUUUUGAGAGUAUUCUCUUUAGAUAACGUGAGUGUUUCAAUGCAUAUCUAAGAAAGAAGUUGCACUAGGCGUUCAAUGGAGACUGAUGGCGUUCCCUUGAUUUGUAAGAACUGGUUUCGUGAUUAUGUAGAUGCUUUUUUCAUUUUUUUUUUGUCAUGUAUGCUCAUGAAUUUUGUAUCUCAUUUAUCUCCUUUUCUGAUAAAUUUUCCGAAAAUCUUGUGGCUGUGCUUGCAGCCUGUCGAUGGGGUUUCUGGUGCUCGGAAUGCCNNNNNNNNNNNNNNNNNNNNNNNNNNNNNNNNNNNNNNNNNNNNNNNNNNNNNNNNNNNNNNNNNNNNNNNNNNNNNNNNNNNNNNNNNNCCGAGACUUCUAAUGGUGUUCUAACUCGUGAAUCUGAAAGGAAGGACAAGAGGUGGUAUAAAGAGUAUGGAGGUCCUUCAGACAGAGUUGGUAAGAGAAGUGAUGAUAAUGGGAGGAGCUCACUUUCUUUGGAAAACUCUGAGUCUGAGGAGAAGCGUAAGAAUAGUAACUGGUCACCGACAAACCGCAGGCAGUCUAACGAAGUCCGUGCUCGGAGUAGGUCUAGGUCACAUGAUCGGGAGAGGGAAAUGUCAAGAUCAAGGCUUGUUGCGGCGGAUGAGUUUCCGGUCAGAGGGAGACAUCAUGAUCCGAGUAGGGAUUAUCUAUAUGACAGAGUUGAAGCAGGGAGAACUGAGGACAAUUAUUAUCGACGUGGGCGAUAUGGGGAAGAUGACAGGCAAUAUGGUCGAGAAAUCUUGGAAAGAGAAAGAAGUAAGGAGAGGGAUAUGGUCCGGGAGGGAAGCAUACGAGAUAAAGAUUCAGAAAGAAGUAAACGGAGAGAGAGAGAUAGUGAACGUAGAAAGGAAAGAGAACGAGGGAGUAGGAGGGAGAUUGAGGCUGAGCGUGAAAGGCUAAAAGACUAUGAACGGGAGCGAAGCAUUGAUAGGGAUAGGAGAAGGGAAAGGGAAAGGGAAAGACGAGGUAGGAGCAGUGAUAUGGAUAGGAGAAGGGAGAGGGAAGACGAUUAUGUUCGAGACAGAGACAAUGAAAGAGGUAAGAGUAGAGAUAGAACAAGGUAUGAAAGUAGAGAGAGGAAGAGAGAAAAGGAAAGGGAGAAUGACAAAGAUAGGGACAAAGGAAGAGAACUCAAGACUGAUACCGAGAAGUAUAAAAAUGUUGAUGUGGACAACGGGGAAAGGUAUUCUCUCAAUAGUCCUAACCCUUGUGAAUAUUUCAUUACAGAUGAUAAAGCUUUGUUAUAUUGUGUGGCUCCUAACUAUUUUGCGAUCAGGUCCAGAAAUGAGGAUGCUCAAAAUGAUAAUGACGAAGGAAUUAUAUGGAAAUCUCCGGAGGAAGAAGAAGAAGAACUAAACAGAAUCAAGGAGGAGAGUAGGAAGCGAAUGGAAGCCAUACUGGAGAAAUAUAAGAAGAAGCCCGAUCAGCAAAACGAACUUUCUUCGCAGGAUAAGGGGAAAGGUAAUUCCCCAUCCUUCAUUGCAAUCAUUAUGCAUAACGACUUAAGCAUGAUGGUUCAGAUUAUUUGUUUAAGUAUGGACCUUGGUACUGUGGUUGGAGUUGUAAAUAAAAAUUUUCAUCGGCCCGCUUUUAUUUGGUUGUUAAGAUGUAGUUCUUGAAUCUUGGAAGUCACUUGCGUGUUGUGUAUCAGACGACCCCUUAGGUUAACAAGAAACCUGUUCCUCUCAAUUUGGAAUGCGUGAAUGGCUCUUUAGCAGAAAAUCUGCAGUUAGUUUUCAGUUGAUUUCGUUGACUGAUUUCCACAUGCACUUGUACAAAAUUUGUUAUUGAGAUUUUCAGCUUCCAGGCAGUCUCAGUUAGUUUUCUGUUUGUGGCAGAUGAUGUUAAAGAAAAUGGUGCUCCAGAUUCGGCUUCUUCCUCUAUUGUCAUAGCUGCUAAUGCUGAUCCAGCCAAAGAUAACUCGGACAUUUAUGCUAUAGAUAGUGAUGUUGCCAAAACAUCAUUAACAACUGGUGCGCCACCUACUAUGUUUGGAAUUUCUCACCCAGAGAGGACUUUAGCUCCAGCAGGGCUUGGCGAAGGUAGCCCGAAGGUGCGUUCAUAAAUGAAAUAUUUUUGUUUCUGUGGUAUUGGUUUCGUGUGUGGUUGUGAAUAUUUUUUUUCGUUUUAUGUUUAUAUUAUAAUUGAAUAUAUACAUAUAUAUAAAUGUGGUGAUGUUUCUCAAUCUUAUAUAAUUUUAUGUUUCCAGAGUGAAAGAUCAGCUGACAUGUUUCAUGAUGAUAUAUUUGGAGAGUCCCCAGCUGCUAAUCAAAAAGUGGUAUGUAAAUUGAAUUAGCUGGCAUAUUUUCAUCUUAUCGUUCAGUAGCCUUUAUCAUCUGAAAUUUCUCUUAUCGCCAUGAAUCUAUUAGUCAGAUCCUCAGAAAACCUUUUUUCAUUUGUGUAAUAGUUUUUUUUGUUAUGGAAGGGUUUUUUGUUAUGUAAGGUUUUUUUUUUUGUUAUAGGACCACACGCGAGGGAAAGGUGAUGGUGUUCCGAUGGUAAGGAGCGGGCUUUAUGAUAAUUGGGAUGAUGCAGAGGGCUAUUACAGUAAGUUUGUUUUCUGUGUGUAUUUAGCUACGUUCCUACUUAUUAAUACUAGUUCAUAGUUUAAGUUUGUGACCAUUUCAUGCACCUUCUCACCUUUCCAACUCGUAGAAGCUCUUCUGUUAAUUUUCAUCUUAAAAAUAUGAGUCUCUUCUACUUUUUAGGCUAUCAGUUUGGCGAGCUAAUUGACGGUAGAUAUGAAGUCAUUGCUACACAUGGAAAAGGUGUCUUCUCUACUGUGGUUCGUGCUAAAGAUUUAAAAGCUGGACCAGCUGAACCUGAAGAAGUGGCUAUAAAAAUUAUUCGUAACAACGAGACAAUGUAGGUGGUGCAUUCUACACAGGCCCUGACUUUUACUUCGAGUUCUUUAUGCAAUAUCUGUUUUUUUUUUAAUAUAUAUGCAUUUGCGGCUCAUUAUUAUAUCUCAUUUCGUUUAGGCAUAAAGCUGGCCAGACUGAGGUGCAGAUAUUGAAGAAGCUGGCUGGUUCUGACCGAGAAGACAAGCGCCAUUGUGUUCGUUUUCUUUUAAGUUUUAAGUAUCGGAAUCACCUUUGCUUGGUGUUUGAGUCGCUCCAUUUGAAUCUUCGUGAGGUCUUGAAGAAGUUUGGCCGCAACAUCGGUCUUAAACUCUCGGCGGUUAGGUCUUAUUCAAAGCAGCUAUUCAUUGCCCUUAAACACUUGAAGAACUGUGGGGUUCUUCACUGCGAUAUAAAACCUGACAACAUGCUGGUCUGUUAUACGUUUCUGUUGCUUUUUCAUACUCUUAACUAGCUUUAUAACAGUUGACAAUUCCUCUGUUUGUCCAGGUAAAUGAGAACAAAAACGUCUUAAAGCUUUGUGACUUCGGUAAUGCGAUGUUUGCUGGCAAAAAUGAAGUUACGCCAUAUCUUGUUAGUCGUUUUUACAGAUCCCCUGAAAUCAGUAAGUUUAAUUUGCAGUGAGAAUUAACAUAUUUUUUGUUUAAUAAGAGAAUAUUUUUAUCUAUUAUUGCUAGAGAAUAUGUGAUUAGAGCUUUUAUUUUUUCAUGGCAGUUCUGGGGCUCACCUAUGACCAUCCUCUGGAUAUAUGGUCAGUUGGCUGCUGUCUAUAUGAGCUAUAUUGUGGGAAAGUUCUUUUCCCUGGCGCCACAAAUAAUGAUAUGUUACGCCUUCAUAUGGAACUGAAAGGCCCCUUCCCCAAAAAGAUGCUUCGUAAGGUAAGCAUUAAAGUAGAGAGAACUAGAACGAAGAACUUAAUAUGCUUGUACUUAUGCUUUCGGUUCAACAGGGAGCAUUUAUUGAUCAGCACUUUGAUCAUGACUUGAACUUUUACGCUACAGAGGAGGACAAUGUUAGUGGAAAGGUAAAAAAUCAGUCCUUAUGUUUUCUCUGACACUUCGCAGUUUGAAAUCAAUUGACUAUGAGUAAUAUGCUAUAUUUUUCUUUUCAGAUGAUGAAGAGAAUGAUCGUAAAUGUAAAGCCGAAAGAUUUUGGUUCAAUUAUUAAAGGUUACCCUGGUGAGGAUCCCAAGAUGUUAGCUCAUUUCAGGGAUCUCUUAGACAAAAUUUUCAUCCUUGAUCCCGAGAAGAGACUGACUGUAAAACAGGCAUUAGCUCACCCAUUCAUCACUAGCAAAUGAAACUACGUUGCCGUUUUCUCUUCUCUGUUAUAUCAGGAAAUGCUGUCCUCCUCUGUACAUUAUACAUCUUAGUUUUAAUUCGAGGUUCUAAUCUUUGAACUGUCUCCAUUUUCUUUCUGCUGCUUGAGUGCUUUGGUUACAAUGUUGGCGUGGGUGGUGGUGUCUGGGUGGAGUUCUCACCGUUGGCGAUUCUCAAUGGGAAUUUACUGGUUUUAUUGUAAGACAACCUGCUAAUGGAGCUUUCUUUUGUUAUAUUCCUGUGUAAUCUCAUUGCCGACUCUACUCAUUGUAGAAAUCUAUGUUUGGAAUUUGAAUAAGGAGAGCGCCAUUCUGAAUCAUAUUUCAAUUAUAUGGAAACCUUCUGAUUAUUAUUUGUGAUGUUGGAUUGCAUCAUUUUCUCUUAUGGUCUUUUUGAGGGCCUGAUGUUAUUUUUCUCCAGGACAUCUACCUACCAUGGCUUAGAGACAGUCCUAAAGUCUUUCAAUGCUUUAAAGGCACACAGGAGAAGGUACAAUGGUUGUUUAUUGGUAGUAAACACUUUUGCAUCUGCAUUGGUCUAUGGUUUGAACUUGGAUGAUACUGUUGCUUGAAUAGGUUUUAGAGUUUGUCCUCCCUUUCUAACUGUGUUUGUCCGCAGUUUCUUUUGUGAUGGUUCAUGUUUUUCCUGAAAUAGUUGUUUUUCUUCCUUAUUUAGUUAUCCUUUUUAAUAUGCAGUUUUCAAUUUUUGUUUUUUCUGGUGUUUUCACGUGUUUACAUAUUAUCUGAUAAACUGUGUUAUUGUCAUUCCGGAGGUUUGCUUGGAGGAGAGAGCCGCGCAAGGAAACAAAAUAUGAAGGUAUGGAGCUUAAAUCAUGUCUCCCUGAUUUUUUCCAACUAGGCCUCUCUUUUUGUUCUAUCUCCUUGUGGUUCAGUUCACUAAUUGUGACUUAUAUCUGUUUUUAGGGCUGUACUCUCUCUCCUCCUGCAAGUUUGGUAAGUAUGUCGCGCUUUGUGUGUUGUGUGCCUUCUCCUCUCAUGAUAUGGCCAUGUUUCACAUUUUUGUCCAUAGCAUGGUAGAAGUCUUUAGAGUUUAAUUUAUUGAUCGGUUCACUUUGGUGGACUAAGGUUAGUAGUUCGCAAGGGAAAAAAUGAAUUAGUUAACCUUUUCACUGGUUUUGGGAGUAUUUCUUUUCAUUGCACAUAUCGUCACUCUUGAUUUCUGUUUUGAUAACGUAGAAGUUUUGUCAGUGUAGAGGAUGCGAGUAGGCCGAUUCAGUUUUUGUUCUUGUUAGGGAUGUUAACAUAGGGUAAAAUAACGCAGCCCAGCCCAACCUACAAAUGACCCAACCCAGUUUAUACCCAACUUACAAAAACCCAUAAACAUCAAAGUUGAAAUCCAAACCAAAAAAUAACCCAAUAUGGUAUAGGUUACCCGCGGAUACCCAAAGUAUUAUCUUAUUUACUUUGAAGAUCAUGUAAAAUAUUAAUAUCAUUAAUGUGAGCUUUAAUAUAUAAACAAGCUUUUGCAAUUUUAUAGAAAACUUGUUUUAGCGCAAAAACUCGUUUACGAUUUUGGCGGAAAAAUUCGCUUUUUCGGAAAAAAAAAUAUUUUGCAAUUAUAACCGGAAAACUCAUUUUGCGGUUUUAGCUGUAAACAUCGUUUUGAUAGGAAAACUCAUUUAUAGUUUUAACGAGAAAACUUGUUAAGUUGUUUUUGUGGUUUUAGCGGAAAAUUUUCUUUUUGCAGUUUUUGUUCUGUAAUUUUUUUUUUUGUGGUUUUGGUUGGAAAACUCGAUUUUUGCGGUUUGCGGAAAAAAUAAUCUUUCUGGUUUUGGCGGGAAAACUCGUUUUGCGGUUUUGGCGGAAAAACUUGUUUUUACGGUUUUGGCGGGAAAAUUUGUUAGAUUUUGGCAGGAAACCUGUUUUCGAUUUUGGCGGGAACAAUCUUUUUGUGAUUUUUUUUGCGGAAAAACUCGGUUUUACGGUUUUUGCUAGAAAAUUCGGCUAAGCGGUUUUGGCAGGAAAACUCAGUUUUGCGGUUUGGCGGGAAAACCUGUUUUUGAUUUUUACGGGAAAACCCGCUUUUGCGGUUUUGGCGGGAAAACUCGGUUUUUCGGUUUCGGCGGGAAAACUCGUUUUUAUUUUGACGGGAAAACUUGAUUUUUCGGUUUUGGCGGGAAGGCUCGGUUUUUCGGUUUCGGCGGGAAAAAUCGUUUUGGCGUGAAAAUUGGGUUUUACGGUAUUGGCAGGAAAACACCUUUUGCGGUUUUGGCGGGAAAACUCGAUUUUGCUGUUUUCAGUCGAAAAACUCGAUUUUGCGAUUUUAACGGAAAAACUCGAUUAUACGGUUUUUGCGGGAAAUUUCAGUUUUUCGGUUUUGGCGGGAAAACUCUGUUUUUCGGUUUUGGCGGAAAACUCGGUUUUGUGGUUUCGGCAGGAAAACUUGUUUUGGUUUCUGUGAGAAAAUUUAUUUUACGGUUUCGGUGGAAAAAAUUAUUUUUUGGUUCUGACGAAAAAAAAAACAUUUUUGCAAAUUUUAUAUAAUUUAAUUAAAAUGGUGAAAAUCUAUAUAUAUAAUUGAAAACCCAUGGGCACAUCAUUACCUUUUGUAUUUACCCAACAUAAAUAUGAGUUUUAAAAUUAAUACCCAUGGUUGACCCAAUUAAUCUUAGAUGGUAAAAACCCAAGCCAUUAUUAGUGGGUUUGGGUAAACCUUAAGAUCCCUAGUUCUUGUUAGUGCAUAGGGAAGAAGUGAAGCUUUGAUGUUUUAUGUAGUAGAUUGAGUCUGUAGAGCUUAAUAUUGUAGAGAGGUUAUAGGAAGAAGAUACAACUUUGGCGAUGGUUGUGAUAUGAACUCGUGCCUUUUUAUGGUUAGGUAUGUUUUCUUUGUAUUUGCUGUCUGUCUAUACAUUUCACUGUUGCCGAGAAGGAAAGAGUGAUGUANNNNNNNNNNNNNNNNNNNNNNNNNNNNNNNNNNNNNNNNNNNNNNNNNNNNNNNNNNNNNNNNNNNNNNNNNNNNNGAAAGAGUGAUGUAUGAAUCGUUGCAGGGUACUUUUGUCUGUACUGCCAAUGUCUAACUCAAGUGUAGUGACAGUAUAAUUCACAAUCUUAUUCAUCAAACCAUUGGGCAUCUAUGACAAAAUUGGCCAUCGCAUAUUGAUGUGUGGUUUAACUCGGCUUCCAUAAAACUUCGAGAGAGUAACGUAGGCUUGACGUUUUUUGGUCCGUAGUUAAUCCGUUCCUGCAUGUCACACGAGUUCAUGUGCUUUAUCCAAUGUAACUCUCGGCGCAUGCAUGUAGCAGUCGAACGAGCUAUUUUUCUACGACGGGUCCGGAACGGCGUAUAAAUAAUUAAUAUCUUAGGCCUUUGGUCCGUUAAAGGCCUGUCGAGGUAAUAGCGAGUCGACUUAAACGGCAACGUUACGCUCAAGUAAGAAAGACUAUACGCCGUCGUUUCAAGGAGUCUCUCGAAGUCUCAAGUAUAAAUCACUCCUCCGAGUACGGUUGAUACUGGAUAAUGCAGGGAACGGACGAGGAUGAUUCUGGUAACCUCACCGUCAGUGACAUACCGACGUCAUUCCCUCCACAACCCUCACACAAAAUCGUUACAAAUCCGCUGCCAGUUUCGCCGGAGUAGUCAAAUCCCCACCGUCGAUCUAUGCAAUCCACGACAGACAAUGAACGGCUUCCAAAUAAGAACACGAGACAGAUCCAUCUUAUGCUUGGCUCGGCGGAAACCGGAGGCGGCGACAGUUGAGGUUGAAGAUGAUCCUCUCCAGAGCAUCCUUCGGUAUCUACUGUGGACAGCUGAAGCCGUGUACAUACUAUGGCUCUUCCUUCUUCCUUAUGCUCCCGUUAGUGAUUCCCUCCAACUUAAAACUUCAUCUGGUAUUGUACAAAUCUUGUUUACUAAAAGUCUCUUUGAUCAGCAGGGAGAUCCAGUUUGGGCAAUUAGUUCAGAGACGGUGAACUCUCUCUUGGGACUUUCGUUGAACUUCUUCUUUAUCUUGCCUCUCACAAACUCAGGUCUGUUCAGCUUAAAGAUUCUAUGUUUCUCUGAUCAUUGUCGAUUUUGUGAUCUCUGAUGUAUAAUUUUUCUGACAAAACAGUUGGUAUUCAUGUCCUAGAAGCUCCUGUUCUUCAUCCUGUAAGUACUAUUUAAGUAAUGUUCACACUAGUGUUACUCUAUUCAACGAUCUGCUGAAAAAUGUUUUCAUUUUCUGUCUGAAAAACAAAAAAAAAAAAACAGAUGGCUGAAGGGUUAUUCAACUUUGUAAUAGCUUGGACACUCAUGUUUGCUCCAUUGCUAUACACAGACCGAAAGAGAGAUCGAUUCAAAAGCUCUCUUGACGUCUUAUGGGGUCUCAUGAUGUUCCUCACAAACAGUAAGUAACACACACUUCUUACUUUUCCUUGUGAUUUAGUUAUUUACUUAUAAUAUGAUGAUUUGAUCUUGUGAAUGGAAACAGCGUUUCUGAUCCCAUACGUGGCCAUACGGCUCAAUGACGCUGACCCAGAUGAUAAACCGAGCAAAAGGUCUCAACUUGGCGAAGCCAUGACCAAAGGUGCGUCGGUAGUUGGUCUCACCGGUGCUACGGUGUGUCUGAUAUCUACAUUGUGGUCUCUCUACGGUCGAGCAGAUGGAGGUUUCGGUGGAAUAAUGGAAAGAUGGCAGUAUCUGAUUGGUUAUUUGGGAUCGGAGAGACUAGCUUACGCGUUUAUAUGGGAUAUAUGUUUGUACACAGUUUUUCAGCCAUGGUUGAUUGGAGAGAACCUGCAAAACGUGAAGAAGAGUAAAGUUGAGUUAGUGAGGUAUCUUAGGUUUGUUCCUGUUCUUGGUUUGCUUGCAUACCUUCUGUCUCUCAAUCUUGACGACUGAGGCUUUUUAUUAAUUAGUUUAAUAAUUGUUACAAAAUACACUACACAUGUUCAUAUGUAUGUAAGAAUAUUUAUUUUGGCGACGUACUUUAUCAAGUUUAUUAUUCCUCAAGUUGGAAAAGGUUGCCAUCUGAUUAUUUUGAAAACUUCUUAAAUUUGUUGAUACUUUUCUCUGCGUUUCAAAUUCAAAUUUUACGAAUAAAAAUAAAGUCAAAUGCAAUCAAUAAAAAAGUAAAUUAUAAAAUCUAUCAAAAUUUUCUAAAAGAAUAUAAUUUUUUCAACAAACAAGAAAUAAUUAAAUUUGAAGUUUUGUCGUACAAAACACAUCUCCAUCUGAUUAUAAAUUUUGAUGGAAAAAGGAAAAGAAGAAGAAGCGAAUGGGCCAUUUCUUGAUAAAACAGCCCUUUUAAAGAAGACUCAGCCCCGCUUAAAUGGGCGCUUGAAGAUGCUAGUCUAGUCGCGAGGAAAAAGCUUCCAUUCUCUCUCCAGGUCUCGUCGUACUUCUUCAUCGAUAGAUCGCGACCAACAAUCGGUAAAUCCUUUCUCAUUUGACUCAGCUCUAAGAACAGAACAAUCCAGAUACUUACAAUUGUUUAUCAUCUUGUCCUAAGGUUCUCGUCUGAUUUGAAAUUUUGUUUAUUUAUCUGUCAAAGGUAUCGAAAGAGCCGCUCUACCCCAUAACGAUGAUAUCCAGCUAAGGCUAAAUUCCAUCAGACGUCUUUCCACGAUUGGACGAGGAAGGAGCUGAUCCCUUUCCUAAGCGAGAACAACGACGACGAUGACGAGGUGCUGCUUGCGAUGGCUGAAGAGUUGGGAGUGUUUAUUCCUUACGUUGGAGGCGUUGAGCAUGCGAAUGUCCUGGGAGACUCUCUCGACGGUUGAGGAGACUUGUGUGAGGGAGAAAGCUGUAGAGUUGGGACGCAGAUGAGGGAGAGUGACUUGGUUGAUCAUUUCUUACCAUUGGUUAAGUUUAGACAACGAGGAGGAGGCUGAGUUAGUCUUCCUAGUGUUUUGGAGUAGGCUACCGAUUAUACGUCUGUAGUGGUUGGUCAAGGGUUGUCUGAUAUAAUUAGUUUUCUUGCUUUGUGGCUAUGUGUGUGAGCGUCCAUCUUACUCUCUUUAUGUUCAUUGGUUUCAGUAUUUUGUUUUUGAUGCUAUUACUUAGUUUUGUUAAGGUUACUGCGUUCCAAUCCAAUGUUCAAGAAACGGCUAGGCGGUGGUCAGGUGGCUUAUAGAGGAUUAAUGUUUAGGCUGGGGCUUUUUUUUGGCAAAUCGUUUCGUUCACACCGGGCGCGUAGACCAAUUUUUAGAACUCUGGAUCCUCCAGCAAAUUCAUUUUUAGUUGUUUGUUACCUUUCUCAAAGUAGUUGUCUUGGUUUGUGGUUGUGCGUGUGAUCGUCCAUCUUUUGUUCUCUUUACUAAAAACUUAGAAUAGUGUAUCGUUGAAACUGAAGAUUUGACUCCCUGUUUAACAGAGACUUGCAGCUGGGGAGUGGUUCACAGCCAGAGUUUCAGCUUGUGGGCUUUUCCAUAUUGCAUACCCAAGCGCCCCAGAUACGUUGAAGACCGAGUUAAGAUCAAUAUAUAGCCAGCUCUGUUCAGAUGAUAUGCCAAUGGUGCGGAGAGCUGCAGCAACCAACCUGGGAAAGUUUGCUGCUACUAUUGGAUCAGCGCAUUUGAAGACUGACAUUAUGUCUAUGUUUGAUGAUCUUACUCAAGAUGGUAAUUUCCUUAUCUGAUGAUUUGCUUCACACUCUUGGCUUUGCUUGUUAAAGCUUGUAUUUCUUAAUUUUCCAUAUUUUGCUCUCAUAUCAGAUCAAGAUUCGGUUAGAUUAUUGGCCGUUGAGGGUUGUGCUGCUCUUGGGAAAUUGUUGGAGCCGCAGGAUUGUGUCGCACACAUUCUUCCCGUGAUUGUUAAUUUCUCUCAGGUGAUUUUGUCUGUAAAACAUAUAGGUUUUUAUCCUAAUGAUCCUUGGAAAAGUUACACUUAUGAGAUGCUUAAUAUUGGUACUUUUGUUACUGAGCAGGACAAGUCCUGGCGUGUGCGUUAUAUGGUUGCAAAUCAGCUCUAUGAGCUUUGCGAAGCUGUGGGACCUGAGCCUACUAGGUAAGAAGCUUUUUAUUGUUAGACCUAAAUGCUGCUUGUCUUUAGCCUCAUGGGAUAACAUUAGUUUAAUGUUUAAUGUUUAUUGAUCCAUCUUGAUGAUGCCCUUUACUUUACCUUAUAUAUUAAGGACGGAGCUGGUGCCUGCAUAUGUGCGUCUACUCCGUGACAGUGAGGCUGAAGUACGCAUAGCAGCUGCUGGAAAAGUUACCAAGUUCUGUCGGAUCCUAAACCCUGAACUUGCUAUUCAGCACAUUCUCCCCUGUGUGAAGGUACAUGCUUAAAAAAAAAAACACAUUGUUCUCAAGUUCUUACAUUAAAUAUUCCUAUUACCAAUAGGUUCUUGUAAUUCAACCUGUAGGAGCUAUCAUCUGACUCUUCUCAGCACGUCAGGUCUGCAUUGGCCUCAGUUAUAAUGGGAAUGGCUCCAGUCCUGGGUAAGGUAAGAGCGUUUGCAAAUAUACAACAUGUGUUUGACUCUACUGUGGUGGAAGAUGUUCUUGGAGAAAGAAAGUUGCAGAUUUUGACUUUACAUUGAUUUUCAUUGCAGGAUGCAACAAUUGAGCAUCUCCUUCCAAUCUUUCUUUCUCUCUUGAAAGAUGAGUUUCCAGAUGUACGCUUGAACAUUAUCAGCAAACUUGACCAAGUGAAUCAGGUUUGUUAUUGACCAUGCUACUCUUUUUAACUUGACUUCAUCCUUCUUUGCUUGUUGAUGAUUCCAAUAUUUUAUAUUUGGCAGGUUAUUGGGAUUGAUCUACUGUCACAGUCCUUGUUGCCAGCAAUUGUGGAACUUGCUGAAGAUAGACACUGGAGAGUAAGACUUGCUAUAAUCGAGUAUAUCCCUUUGUUAGCAAGUCAGUUAGGUGUUGGCUUCUUUGACGAUAAGCUUGGCGCUCUUUGCAUGCAAUGGUUACAAGACAAGGUUUUCCUUUCUCUCUCUCUCUCUCUCUCUCUCUCUCAAUCCUCUACUGGGGAAAGGGAUUAGAUUAUCCAACAAAUGAAACCCUUUUUUGCGGUUUCUCUCAUCAGGUUCACUCGAUCCGUGAUGCUGCUGCAAACAAUCUGAAGCGGCUUGCUGAGGAGUUUGGUCCUGAAUGGGCAAUGCAACAUAUAGUUCCUCAGGUUUGUCUACAAUCUUAGCAACAUAGAAAAAAUUAGAUUCAAUUAAACGUUUUUAAUUAAUCUGCAGGUUCUUGAGAUGAUUAACAACCCUCACUAUCUAUACAGUAUGACCAUUUUGCGUGCGGUUUCUCUUCUUGCACCAGUGAUGGGCUCAGAGAUCACAUGCUCUAAACUCUUGCCCGUGGUAAUCACUGCAUCUAAAGACAGGCAAGUUCUCACUGUAAAUUAAGACUCAUAAUCAUUGUACUUUAAACAUCUUCAGUAUAAUAAUAAACAAGUUUUUUUUUUAAUUUACCAGAGUUCCAAACAUCAAAUUCAAUGUCGCUAAAGUGCUUCAGUCCCUCAUUCCAAUAGUGGAUCAAUCAGUAUGUAAACAAUCUAACCAGUUGGAACAUUCAUUUGGUUUGCGCAAAAUCCAUAUGGUUUUGUUUUAAUUUUUGGGUUGGUGGUGAAAUUUAAAAGGUUGUAGAGAAUAUGAUUCGUCCAGGGCUUGUGGAGCUAAGCGAGGAUCCAGAUGUUGAUGUAAGGUUUUUUGCAAACCAAGCUCUUCAAUCUAUUGAUAAUGUGAUGAUGUCUAGCUAAAGAAAACACACUUUUAGGUCUUGUCUGUCUCUGGCUGGUUUUCUGUUUGAUGCCAAAGUUGUGAAAUCUCGAGACUUUGUAUCGUAAGUAGUGAGAGAGAACUCUUGUGUUCUGUUUUUAUUACACGCUAAGUCUUGCAACUAGUGUGUUCACUUCUAAUUUUGUUUUGAAAACUUCUCCAGUUAAUGAACAUUUUUCGCAGUGUGUAUUUUUUCAUUACAGCACACUAGGUAAUUAUCCGCGCUACGCGCUGCAGGAUUUUUUUAUUUUUUAUUUUAUUGUUUAUAAAAUAUUUUCAUUUUAUAAAUGAAUAAUUAUAUUAAUAUAAGUUUUGUAUCUAAAUAUUUAUAAUCUAGACAUAUAUUGUAUUUUUUAUAUUUUGGUUAUUGUAUAAUAAUUAUUUAUUUGAUAUUAAUCUUUAACAGAUUAGCUUCCAAGUUAAUUUCUUCGCACCUUUGCUCUCGAGCUGGUGGUGUAAGAUUUCAUUGUUUUUUUUUGGGUUUUAGGUUCCAGUUUGUGGUCUAAAAGACUCUAAUACUAUUUUCUUUCCAUUCCAUAAAAUUAUUUGUAUUUUAAAAUUUGUUUCAAUGUAAAUAUCAGUUUUACAUUUUUAUAUAUUAAAAAAUCAGUUUAAUCCUUAUUUUUACCUUUUGUAUUGAUCAAAUAAAAAAUAACGUGGACUUCUAAUUAAAAAUAAUAUAGAGAACUUAAGCAUUUUCUUAAUAUGUUUUUUUUACAGCCGUCUUAUAACCAGAUUCAUGUAUUUGAUCUUUAUUUUGAUUUCGUAUUCUAUCCUUCUUACUAAAUGAUAUACGCUAAAUUUUUGUUUACAUCACUUUUAUAUUUAUACUUUAUUAUUCAUUUAUUUUUCAAUUGAGUUUAAGGUUAAGGAUAGAAGUCCAAUCCAUUUUUUUUUUCCUACGGUUUUCUGGUUCACCAAAUUUAAAAUUCAACAUUGUAGUAAAUGUCCUUUACUUCACUUAAAAUUUAAAAUUCAAUAUUGUAGUAAAAUAAUUAGCCUUUGUUAAAAUAAUAUAUUUUGUAAAAUGAUUUCAGUAAAUAUUCUCCAUCACCAAUAUUAGUAUUGGCUUUUGAAAAAUAUUUUACAUAGAAUAUAUUAUGUGAUAUAUAUUUUUGAUAAAAUUUGUCACAUAAAUGUUUGUGCAUUCUUUAUUUGUUGAUGUAGUUGCUCUUUCAUUUUGAUGAACUUGGCUACCAACUUUGAGAAUGAGACCGACCAUCUGCAUCAGAAUUAGACCAGAGCUAGUAUGAUCGACUCUUCUUAGUAGUAGAACCAAAGCUAUGAUCGUCUCUUCUUAACAGUUAGAACCAAAGCUAGAUUUUUCGACUCUUCUUGAGUUUCAAAAAGAAUUACUCUUGAGGAAAUCUCAGCUUAGUUUAAGCUUAACAACUCAUCUAAUAAUCCCAUCAUCGGUUUGAUUGUUUGUGGCUUCUUCACUCGUUAGAAUUAUGGAUUGUGAAUUUGUGGUCUUCUUCAUGUUUGAAUGUUACUUAUGAUCCCUAAUAGGGUCAUGUUAUAUGGUCUUCGAUUUCACCAAUUUAGUAAUAGAUUGUAAUAACUUGGUUUACUAUAAUCUGUUUGGUUUGUGUAAUUAUAUUUAUUUUUAUCAAACCAAAACUCAAUUCUUUUAUUCACUUUAACCUAACCCGUAUAUUUCUAUAAGCAUAUAUAUCUCCUUCUUCUUUGUAUAGUAAACAUUGAUGCUUCUCACCAGCACCUCUUUUUUCUUAUCUUCUCUUUUUCCUCUCCUUCAGACUUCGUAUGGUUCUUGGUUCGUCCCUCAAAUCCUCCUCUCCGUUCAUGUAUGCGAAAAAAAGGUUGUGUUCGUCUCCGAUCUUCACCACCACUGUUGUCCAUAGAGUGAUAGAGUCAUCUCAUAGCGGAACCGAGACGUGGAGGAGAGCGACGUCGGAGCUGCCGCUCUUCACCAUCACUGGACGCUGGAAUCUUCACAAUCCACCGGAGAUCUGCACCGUUACCUAGAGCUCCCACCCAAAACCCUCUACACUUACUCACGGAUCUCUUCACUCUCCGAGAAAAAAGAUGGAGGAGGAUCGUGUUCUCUCAUCUGUGAUAUAACAUGAUUUUAAUGGUAUUUAGGAUAUUAUUUAGCUUAUUCUAAUCAUUCUAGGUUGCAUUUAGGUCUUUAUAUUGCAUUUUCAUACAUAAUUGCAUUUGAUAGGGUUUGGAAUGCACAUUUGGAAGUUUAUGGCAAAAAUCAUGUGUUAAAUUGUACAUUAUGGAAGUUUUGGGCUCAAUGUGAUUUUAAUAAGAGUCCAGGGACCAGCGCUGCAAAUUCACAAUUCUCGGUUGCGUUAAAUUGCAAAAUCGAAAGUACAGAGGAUGAUUUGAGAUGGUGUAUCUGCACUAUCAAGAGUUUUGGGGUCCAAUCGUGAAUAGUCAAAAACGUUAAGGACCAUAUGUGCAAAACAGCUAAAGAUCACCAUUGUCUUCACUUCGAUCCCGACGAAUCCGGCGGUUACCACGGCUGAUUCCGACGAUGGCGAUGGCUGAGAGUACGACGGAGUAGGCGACUUGGACGAGAGACCCAUUGGAGGAGCUGUCCAGCUUCUCGAUCGGAAGCUCAGCCACGACGGAGAUGAUAACCGGAGUUGCAGAGGACGAGUCCGGUGCUGCUGGCUGGAACACGAACUGAACCACCACCACGAGCCAAGCCUGAGACGAAGAAGAAGAAGACGGAGCUCGCGAUUCAGGCCCGUGACAGACACGACGAACUGCGACGGAGAAGAGGAAGCUCGAGACAGAGGUGAAUCAUGAGGAGAUGAAGCUGGCCACAAGGCUGGAAGAGAUGAGUCUAGUGACAGAGAAAGUGAACUGAAGAUGAAUCGUGGCGGAACAGACCCACGAAUCUGUUCACUCCACCGUCUCAAGGAUACGAUUUCAACGGAGAAGAAAAAAUGAGGUGUGGAAACGAGAUAAGUUAAUUGCUUCUUCGAGUUUUUUCAGUUAAUGACAUUUUUUUCAGUCAAUGACAUAUGUCAGUUCCUCAUCUGAUGUGUCUACUCUGGAGAGAACCUUCUUCUAUUAUUGUGAUGAUUACAAUUGUCAUUCUUAUUCUUGCUUUUUAAAACCUUAAUAAUUAUUUAAAACAAAAAUUAAUAUUUAAAGAUAAUUUUAUCAAAUAAUUAAAUUUUAGUUUAGAGAAAAAAACUACUAAAUGAGAGCCAAAUGGCCAUGAGUUUUUAAUUGUUUUCUACUCUUUUGAUUCUUUUUAUUAUUUUUAUUAUGUUGGUUAUAUAUGAAAACUUCUCGGUAGAUAUCGGACUAAACAUCUAAGUUGAAGUUUUGAAUGGUUGUUCAGUUCACUCUACUCUAUAUCGAACUAAUCGGACCAACAGUUCACUAUGCUAAACUGCAUAGGUGGAUAGAAAUGGCAAAAAGUCAUACCAAUAAUUUAUUAUAAACUUCAUAGGUAGAUGGAAAUUGCAAAAGGUCGUACCAAUAGUAUAAUUUUAGUCCACCUCUUACAAUCUACUAGGCUAUAUUUUUUUUAUAAUCCAGGUAAUCCGGACAUUUUGGAGGAGACCCGACUAGCGUCUAAAUACACUUUCGCAGAAGGUAUUCUGAAAGGCCGUCUUUUUCACCUCAUUUUAAUCGACGGUGGCCAACGGGGUUCGAAUCCAAAUCCGUAUUAGAAUCAAAGCUCCCUCAAAACCACUGGAUCGUCCUCGCUUGGUUCCACUAGACUAUAUUUCUCUUAGUCUGAUCUGACUUUGCGAAUGGUAAAAUAAAACUUGGACCUGUCGGACCUUGGUCCAAUCCGUAACGGACUACACAACAAUUUAUAGUGUAAGAUCAUCUCUAACAUAUUUCCACAUUUCUUUAUAUAAUAGCAUUUAAAUGCAGAUGUACUCCAACUCACAUCUAUUUUUUCUUCUAAAAUAUAAAUUGUUGUUUUUACUUUAUAUUUAGAGUUUCUUCUAUUUUUAUUUUAAAUAUAGAUAAUAUUGUUUUAUAAAAACACAUUAGAAUAAAUUUUACAUUUAUUAUAAAAGAUUAUUUUUCAAAAGAAAAUAGCAAAAAUACAUUUGAAAUAAUCCUUUUUUUUGUCAAAUAAAGCUUUUUAUAGCAAUUUUACUCUCAAUAUUGCUGUUCACUAAUUGAAAAACAAAACCUACAAUCACAGCAAAAAAGCCUCGUAUGUUCUAUGGAAUUUUAUUAGAAAUUAGCGAACCUAAUUUUUGAAAGGCCGUGCUCAUUGCCGCGUGGAUAGGUUAAUUGCCAUCAAUAUUCUCAAACUGAUAGGACCUUUUUAGAGUUUGAACUAUUGUUGCGUAGUUGUAAUCAAACAGAGUCGUCCAUUUAGUUUUGUUUGCGUUCCACCGGCCAAAUAAUUCUGACCGCAGCCGAAAACGUCGCUUUUACAAAUUGUAUCUUACGUAUGCAUGUUCAAAUCUACAAAAGAAAAGAAAAGAAAUAGCGUUGAAAAAAUAAAUAAAUGGUGAGUAUAUCCACCACCACCCACGUGAAAUUUGAUCGAUUUUUAUUAAUUUGUGACUUUGACGGGGUGUUGCCAUCUGCUUUUUCUACAUCCUCUUGAUUUAAGAACGCUAGAGCACGGUUAACCUGGAAUUCUUUAGAUAGGAUUUUAAAAAUCGGUUUUUAGUUUUUUUAGUUUAAAAUUAAGAAAUAAUUUCUUAACUUCCGCUAAGAACUCCAUUUUAAGAACCCAGAUUAAUCAUGGUCUUAGAACAUCAUUAUCGCACAAACCUUUAAUGGAUUUCUUAUUUUUUUAUUUUUUUAUUUUUUUCAUUUUUGUUUGAUUAAAAAAAAAAAAUUAAAAAAGAACCAAAGAUACUCGAUUUUUACGAGUCACCGGUUAUUUUCAGAUCAGUCGAUAUCAAUGAUCAAGCUAUACCAUGUCUGUGCUCCUAUUUAUGGGGUUUUCUAUCUGGCCUUUAUAGAUAGUUUAAAUACCAAAACAUUAGUUUUUUACAUAUUUGAGAUGAAUAUGACUUAAAUACGAUUAAAAUUAACUAAUUAUACAAAAUUAAUGAAAAAAACAAAUUAAUAUAUACGACUUGUUUUUAUUUAUAUCAUACUGAUAACUUCACUUCAGUUAGGUUUGAUUUGAGAUUGUAUAGAACGAACCAUUGAUAUAUAUUGGGAAGGUCAACACUCACUUAAAAUCUUAAGAGUCAAAACCAUAUUGUAAAAUCUUUUCUUUCUUUUUUUGAAAAAAUAUUGUAAAAUCUUAAAUGAUAAAAAACAUAUAUAAAAUCUGAUUAAAAAAAUUUAGAAUCGAUAGAGAAAUACCAUAUGUCAUGAUAAUUACAAGAUAGAUAUAUGUUCUUGUCAUUGGACCGUCAAUUACAUGACCAACACAAUUGUCGGCUCAAGAAUGCAUCGUAAACACUCACAUACACGACAUGCAUGUUUCUCUUAAUAUGGCAUAGUUUCCAUUUGGUAUUUUGACAAUAUCUCUGGGGGAAUUCAACUUAGUUCGUAUGCAAAAUGUAGUUUGGAAAUAAUGUACAUUAUCUUUAAUUGUAAGAAGUUUCGGGCCGAAGUUCGUAAUCUUAUUAAGCCACAAAUUAAAUAAGUAUGAGUUGUUAAAUCCUGCUAAGAUUAGAAUCUGACACUUUCAUCUGUAGAGAGGAAGGCUUAACAGCAGAGAUAACAACUACGUAUAAUGAUGUUGGAAAUGUGCAUUUGGUCAUGGAUGCUAUCACCAUGGAUGCAACUCCGUGGAUGGGUUUGGUUAUGUGAAAUUGGAAACAAAUGCAGUUUUGUGGAUGCGUUCCUAUGGAUGCCUCAUUCUAAGUUAUGUUUGGGCUUUAGUGGCUAAAGCCCAUUUCGUGUAAAGGUUUUAGUAGACCAUAUAUAAGUUCCAUAGCCUAAUUUGUGCCUCCUAAUCCUAAAGUAACAAAAAAAGAAGCUCUUUACAAGAUCUAGAGAGAGAGACAACAAAGAAAAAAAAACUCCAAAAAAUCUCAAGAGAGAGACAAGCAAAAAGCUCAAAAGCAGUCAAGGAGGAACUGCAGGCUGAGCAAAGGACAAGAAAGUGACUAGAGAAAAGUAGUCAGAGAGUGAGAAGCUACCAUAAACAAGAGAAGAAACAAAGUUCGAGUCUUUGUGUUCUUAGAGUAUGUUGGUAUUGUACUUUCCUUCUGUAAUUUCUUUUGUCAUUCUCAAGGUUGGGUGAAAAAUCUUGUAUCUUUAAGUUUCUGUUGUUCAUCACAAAGAUCCAAAGCUUUAACACUUAAAGGGUAGGAAAGUUAGGUGUAUAGGUAAACCUAACAAGGUGUAUCAAAACUAGCAAGUGAUAGUUGUUUGGUUGAUACAAAAACAAGUAGGAUUUUCCUAACAAAUGAUGUACAGAUUUUGGAAAGUAAUGUUAUGUAACAUUAGAAAAAAAAAGGAAAUGAACAGCGUUUGAACAUAUCCAAUAGCGACCGGUUUUGUAAAUGGAAGACUUCUUUGGUAUAGUGGUAUCAAUUGAUGGAUAUUACCUAAGCGCGCAAGAAUUUAUCUAUGUAUACUAUUAAAAUAGAAGUUAUGACUUAUUUCAUGUGUGAUAUUUUAAAAUGGACUAUCUCCUAAAAAGUUUUUUACAUAACUUUUUUGUAUGUUCAUAAUAAAAUCCUAACAACAUAUUUAAUUCUCUUUUUAUUCAAUCAAAAUAUUAUUAGAUUUUAUUAAUUUCGAAAAUAUAUUAUUCCAUCAAUAUAUAAUUAUUCGACAAUUUAAAAGUAUAUGAACGAUUUUAAUUAUAUUUUAAUGAUAAUAAAAAUUUAAACUGAUUAAUUUUCAAAAAAACAUUUUACAAAGAUCUUAAAAAGAUUUUGUUAGAAAGAUUCAUUUCUAUUUGAAAUUAAAAGAAAAAUUUUUAUCCAACUUAUUGUAUUUCAAGUAUUUUCUCAAAUAUGAUCUUUACUUUAUUUUGAAGUAUGUUGUAUUAUAGUUUACUUCUUAAAAAUAUCUAUUGUUCUUUUUAACAUUAUCGCAAAAAUUAUCUUCUCUACUAUGUAGAUAGGUCCAAAUUAAUUUUCUUCCAUAUAAAAAUGAAAUUUAGAAAUAAAAAUAUGUAAAGUAGUAUUUUUACCUAAUAAUUUUUUCAAAAUAAUAUUUGGUACAAAAAUACAAAAUUUAUCGUCAUAAUAUAUAAUCCACAUAAACAUCGGUAUUAUAGAGUUAUAUAUUAUAUAAUCCUAAAUUACAUUAAAUUAUUGAUAAAUUUUGUUAUAUAAACUAAAAUAUUUUAGUAUAGAAAAAAACCUGCACGGAUGUGCGGGUCAAGAUCUAGUUACCAUUAUUUGUGUAGACAAAUUUUAAUCGAUGGCAUUAUACGGUUGCAAUUAGAUUAUAAAACUAAAUGUUACCGUUGACUAUAUAUCACAGAAUACGUUAUGGUAUACAUCUAAUUUAGUAUGAAAAAGGUUGGAGGUUAGAGCAUACAUAUAUCCCAACCACCAAAAAAAAACCGGCAAAAGUGCGUAGAAACUUAUAAUUGUAUUAUCUCGACUACCUUGGUUUUACUACGAUAGUCGUUUGCUACCAAACACGCAUAUACAUGUAUCUAGUGAACUUUGCUUUACCUAUUUAAGUAGAUCGACUAGAUCCCCAUUUCUAUAAGUUCUUCAAAACAUAUCCCUUCAACAUAGAAAACGAUGUCUUUCACUCAAAUUCCGCGAAAGAGAGCAAGAAAGAAAAAAUCUCUGAAAGAGGCUGAUCAUAUACGACCUUGGUAAAUGUUUUUUUUUUCUUUUUGAUAAAUAUUUGUAAGUUUAUGUAAACGUUUAACUAAAAGAUGUUACUGCUUUUACCACAUAUUCUUAUAUCUGCAAUUUAGGUUUAGGCUGUUCAUAUACUUAUAAAAUAUGGACAUGUAUAUACUCAGAUUAUUGUUUGUUUUUUUGACAAAAGGUUUUAUACUUAGAUUAUUGUUUGAGUUAUGACAUGCAUCAUUAGUUUAUAUAGGGUUCAUUUCAAUUUUUAAAAUAAAAGUACUACAAAUUAAUGAAUAUAACUUCAUGCAAAGCAGAUAUUUAUAAAGCACCUCUAUUGAGGAGAUUUUCAACUUAUAAGUAUCUAUAUAUGUGGGUUUCUUAAUGUGAACAAUCUAUAUGUAUUUCUAGGGAUGGCUUCUGAAGUGUGAUAUCAGAAGUCAAUAAUAGAGAUUAUAACUAUAGAAGGAAUCUAAAUGUGCAAAGAGCUAAACUAUUACCCUAAAUCAUCAUAAUGCAACUGUAUAAUUUACAUAGACGCGUAUUUUUUAUUGAUACUAAUGCAAAAUUUGGUUUGAUUUGAUUUACUUUGCUUUAUUUUUAUAUUUUGGUAUCAGAUGAUUUUCAUGUCUAAAUAUUUUGGUGUGUUGAUUUUUCUUUCGCAGGUCGAUACCAAGUACUCUCCAUGGAAUAUUCAUUUGAGCAAGAUGUUGGCAUGAAAUUGCAGCGGUGAAGGACGAGCUGAAUCUAUAUCGAUACUACCUCGACCUCGAUCCUUCACGUUGUUAUUAAUUAAAUACAUAGUCACAGUCUCAUUGUCGACUAUAUAUUAAAUAAUACCGUGAAUGCAGAUUCAGGAAUAAAUUAAAAUAUUUAUUUAAUUCUAUUGGUUGUCUAAAAUAUUUAAUUUAAUUUGUAUACAUGCUGAUGUUAGGAGUUUUCAAGGCUCCUAAGACAAAUGUUGUAGUAUAGUGAUUGUCGAACCAGUUCUGAGGGAUAUCAAAGCACUGAGAAUGCAAGUACUCACUUAAUCUAAGUGCAACCAAUGAUUUAGAUGGGUUUUAAACUAUGACUAAAACUAGAAAGCAAUAACAGAAUGAUACUUUCUUGACUAAGGGAAAAGAAAACUCAUGGGCAUAGGGAUUAGACCUUGGGUGAUCAAGUAUCGAACUAAGGAUGACAAAUGAUCAAUCAAACUAUCAACCUUAAGCCUAGACACAAUUCUAAACAAGCUCUAUGUCUAGAUGAAUGCUCAUUUGCUAACAUAUCUCAAACAUCAAAUGUCUUUGGUUGAAUAAUAUGAAAGCAAUCAUUACUAACAAGUCUAUUAGCUAUCUUAGCAUCUUUAACAACAAAUGUCUUUGGCAAAGUAUACUAAAAGCCUAGGAGAGUUGUCUCAGGCAUUUCAUCAAACACCUUUCGGGUGGAAAAUGCCUAUUGAUCAACUUUUGAGUGGCCAACUCAGAAGAUGCAUUAAGAAUACUCUACUAGCAAGGAACAAGAAUGAUCUACACUAAAACAUCCUAGAACUAACCUAAUCACCCUUAAUCUCCCUAACCCAUGAAUUCAAAAGGUGAUUACUCACUAAUCUCCAUGAUUCAUCUUAAACCCAUAUUGGAUUUCAGAUUAAUCAUGUAGAGAAAUCGAUAAGAAAUCAACAAUAACACAAGAACAUAACAAUCAAAAUCCAAGAGAUGAACUUCUCAAGAGAGUUUUUGUGUAUCUCUCCAUAGAUCAAAGAUAGUCUGCCUGGUGGCUACAAAAGAUGUUUAAAACAUAGGUUUUUCCAAGUGCAAAACGUCCAAAAUAAAUUGCAAAAAGGUCCUCGGGAAAUCAUGAUUUUCGGCAGCAAAGUAACGCGGAGCGACUUGCAGGUGUCGCUCCGGGAAGUCGCUCCAAGGCCGAUUUUUGGUGUCUCCGGGUGAGAGGUCGCGAGCGACUUUGGUGUGUCGCUCCAACGGGUCGCUCUGGAUCGGGAGCGACCUUGGUAGGUCGCUCUGAGAGGUCGCUCCAGGGUCAUCUAAGACGGUUCGGAGUAACGAGAACGCGAGCGACUUCAUGGCGUCGCUUUAGGAAGGUCGCUCUGAGAGGUGGGACACAGCGACUUCGUGAUGUCGCUCCGGGAGGUCGCUCCCAUGCUCUGCUCGUUUAAUGAUCACCUAUUUCACCUCCUUCGAGCUCCAAAUGCAUCCAAAUGUCCCCAAGAACUCCAUGUGGCACUCCAGUACCUAAUAGAGACUCAUGUAUGCAAAAUGCAACCUAAACAUGUCUAAAUCCUAAUCUCUAUGAUGAAAAUGUUUAUGAAUGAAUGGAUAAAACAAUGCAAAUAUGCAAGAUAUCACAUGCUGAUAAUGUUGGAUAAUUCCAAUUAACUUAAGGAGCAAGUUAACUCAUUAAAGUGAAGUUUGAUGGGUUAAGGAAAAAGGAAAACAUAUCGAGCUUAGGAAUGUUUCCAUAUUAUUAUUAGGAAAAGAUGUAGCUUCGCUCUUAGGAAAAGAUGUAACUUCUUCCUAUAUUAAGAGUUCUCAUGGAGAGAUGUUCCAUCAAGAGAAACACAUUGAAAGAUUUAGUUUUGAGAGAGUUUCUAAAUCUAAUAAGAAGAGAAGUUCUUAUAAUCUUUGUGUUUGUGCAACUUUAAUUGGUAUCAGAGCCAGGUUUCGAAGGUCGUUUACAAGAGGAGUUGUAACUUCGAUCAAAACAUGGGAGACGAUUCUCAAGCACGUGAUAAAGGUCUUGAGAUGAAGAAGGACAUACGAUGUCCGAUGCUAACAUCGACCAACUACACCGUAUGGUCGAUGCGAAUGAAAGUGAUGCUUCGUUUAUACGAAGUUUGGGAUACAAUUGAUCCAGGGAGUAACGAUGCAAAGAAGAACAAUAUGGCGAUUGCUCUAAUCUUUCAAUCAGUCCCGGAGGCGCUAAUACUUCAGAUUAGAGAACAUGAUACAUCGAAGAAGAUUUGGGAAGCUAUCAAAUCCCGUAACCUAGGUGCUGAUCGCGUGAGAGAAGCAAGGUUACAAACUUUGAUGUCUGAGUUCGACAAACUGAAGAUGACAGACACAUACACGGUGGAUGACUACGCAGGAAAACUUUCAGGCUUAGCAUCGAGAGCAGCCGCGUUAGGAGAGAUAAUGGAAGCAUCAAAGCUGGUAAAGAAGUUUCUGAAGGGACUUCCAAGAACGAAGUUCAUUCAUAUCGUAGCUUCGUUAGAACAAGUGCUGGAUCUAAAUUCAACGGGAUUGGAAGACAUUGUUGGGAGAUUGAAGGCUUUCGAAGAACGCAUGAAAGAAGAAACCCAAGAUGAAGGUCAAUCGAAGCUCAUGUUUGGAAAGAAUGAUAUGCAAGGUAGUGGAAGCCAUAACAACUCGCGAGGAAGAGGCAUAGGUAGAGGUUAUGGUGGAAGAGGAAGAGGACAAGGAAGGUCUAAUGUUUCUGAUGGUCAUAACAAAGGAGGAGAAGCUUCAGACAAGACCAAGAAGGACUACUCUAAGGUUAGAUGCUGGCGAUGCGACAAGAUGGGGCACUUCGUGUCACAUUGUCCUACACGACCAAGAGAAGAAGCUAACCUAACGGAAACACAAGAAGCAGAUGCAUUAUAUAUGCAUGAAGUAGUAUUCCUCAACGAAGAGAGAGUGUUUCCUAAGAGGUUUGAUGUAUCCGAUGGAAAUACGAGUAUAUGGUACCUUGACAAUGGUGCAAGUAACCAUAUGACAGGCAAGAGAGAGUUCUUCUCAAACCUAGAUGAGAGCAUCAAAGGCAAAGUCAAAUUCGGUGAUGGAUCAAACGUCGAGAUUGUUGGGAAAGGUUCGAUCACGUUCAUCGGAAAAACAGGGGAGAGAAGAGCACUCAAAGAUAUCUACUACAUCCCAAGUCUUAAACACAAUAUCAUAAGUCUUGGACAAGCAACCGAGAUGGGUUGUGAGGUCAAUAUGAAAGAAGACUUACUGAUGCUGAAAGAUCCCCGUGGAAGGCUAUUAGUACAAGUCGCAAGGCAACCAAACCGAUUGUACAAGACGCCAAUGGAGGUUGAAUAUCCGAAGUGUCUUCAAAUACAAGAAACUGAUGUUACAUGGACGUGGCAUGCACGGCUAGGACAUGUGAACUUUGGAGUCAUGAAGAAUAUGGUAGACAAAGAGAUGGUAGUAGGGAUGCCUCAGGUGAUACACGAGAAAGAUGUGUGCAGCGCCUGCUUAGUUGGGAAGCAAACUCGGAAGUCUUUCCCGCCUAAAGCAAUGUAUCGAGCAUCACACGCAUUGGAGUUGGUACAUGGUGACUUGUGCGGUCCGAUAUCACCAUCAACACCAGCAAACAAUAGAUAUGUAUUUGUCUUAAUUGAUGAUUACUCAAGAUAUAUGUGGACGAUGCUGCUAAGAGAGAAGAGUGAAGCGUUCGAUCGGUUCAAAAAGUUCAAGGAGUACAUGGAGAAUCAAACGAAGCUACAACUCAAGACUUUUCGCACCGAUAGAGGAGGAGAGUUCACAUCUUCUGAGUUCAUUCGUUUUUGUGAAGAAAAUGGUGUAACUAGACAUCUCACCGCACCGUAUACACCGCAACAAAACGGUGUGGUUGAGAGAAGAAAUAGAACACUAAUGGAGAUGACUAGAAGUUUGAUGAAAGCUAUGAAGAUACCUAAUCAGCUAUGGGGAGAAGCAGUACGUCAUUCAACGUAUCUCAUAAACCGCAUUGCUACAAAGGCUUUGGAAGACAAGACUCCAUACGAAAGCUUGUAUGUUAAGAAACCGAACAUUGAGCAUCUAAGGGUCUUUGGAUGUGUAGCUUUUGCAAAAAUCAACAGUCCUCAUCUCAAGAAGCUGGAUGAUCGAUCAAGGAUGGUGAUCAACCUAGGCACAGAGCCCGGCUCAAAAGCUUACAGACUCUAUGAUCCGGUCGCGAAGAAGAUAGUUGUUAGUAGAGAUGUAAUCUUUGACGAGAAGAAAAGUUGGGAUUGGUCCACACUAUCAACAAACGUAGACGAAGAACCAGGAUCAUUCAAGCUUCCUCAUAUUGAUGUUACAGAAGAAGGAGAUGGUGAUGAGCAUCAAGAUCACCAACACCACGAAGAGCAAAACAAUAAUGAAGAAGAAGAAGCUGUAGACGCAGAUGAACAAGAGCAAGUAGUAGAGAACAACGAUGCAAACCAAGACCCGCAUGUAACAUCAAGAUAUGGUCGUAACAUCAGAAAACCAAAGCGGUUCGAUGAUUACAUCCUACUCGCUGAAGUUGAAAGUGGCAGACUCUUGCUCACCAUCGAUGGUGAACCAGAAAGUUACAUCGAAGCUGUAGUAAUACAAGCUUGGAUAGAUGCAAUGAAGGCAGAGAUCGAAUCUAUCAUCAAAACAAAACCUGGAAGCUCGUCAAGAAGCCGACAGGUGUGAAACCGAUAGGUUUGAAGUGGAUCUAUAAGAUCAAGAGGAAUGCAGAUGGAACGGUGAUCAAAUACAAAGCAAGGCUAGUUACAAAAGGUUAUGUGCAACAACAAGGCAUAGACUUCGACAAAGUAUUUGCACCAGUUGCUCGGAUAGAAACCAUACGACUACUCUUGGCGUUAGCAGCAACUAAUGGAUGGGAGAUCCAUCACUUAGAUGUCAAAACUGCGUUCCUGAAUGGAGACUUAAAUGAGGAUGUAUACGUUACUCAACUAGAAGGCUUUGUGGAGAAAGGAAAGGAGGAUCAUGUGUACAAACUUAGCAAAGCACUAUACGGUUUGCGUCAAGCUCCGAGAGCUUUGAACAUCAAACUCGAUCGUGUUCUCAAGGAGAUGAAGUUCACGAAGUGCACCAAGGAACCUGCGGUAUAUCAAAAGAAACAGAAGGGGGAGCUUCUGAUCAUAGCUAUAUACGUUGAUGACUUGUUUGUAACAGGGGCUUCACUCAACGUUAUCAAGCAAUUCAAAGAUGAUAUGUCAAGAAGAUUUGAGAUGUCAGACCUCGGGAAGCUUACAUACUAUCUUGGUAUAGAAGUAACGCAAGGAGCUGAUGGCAUUCACAUCAAACAAGAAGGAUACGCGCAAGGUAUACUUGUCAAGACGAAGAUGGAGUCAUGUAACUAUACUCAUGUUCUGAUGCACACGAGUUUGAAAGUAUCAAAGGCAGAGGAGGAGCCUGAGAUUGAUGCAACAUCGUAUCGAAGCAUCAUAGGAUGCUUAAGGUAUCUUCUUCAUACACGACCGGACUUGGCGUUUUCGGUUGGUGUAUUAAGCAGAUAUAUACAGAGUCCAAGAGAGAGUCAUGGAGAAGCAGUGAAGCAUCUAAUACGAUACAUAAAGGGCACUACAGAGUAUGGUCUCUUCUUCAAACGGGAUGGAACAACGGAGAUUACAUGUUACAGUGACAGCAGCCAUAACAUAGACGUUGAUGAUGGAAGAAGCACUACAGGGUUUAUGUUCUACCUAGGAACAUCGCCGAUCACGUGGACAUCGUGCAAGCAACCCACAGUGGCACUCUCUUCAUGUGAGGCGGAGUUCAUGGCAGCUACGGAAGCUGCAAAACAAGCAAUUUGGUUAAAGGAGUUGAUGGUCGAGAUCAUGAACAAAGAAGACAAGAAGGUCGUGUUGAAGAUUGACAACAAGUCAGCGAUAGCCCUCACCAAGAACCCGGUGUUUCACGGUAGAAGCAAACACAUACUCUCGAAGUACCAUUUCAUUCGAGAAUGUGUGGAGUUCGACUUUAUCGAAGUGAAGCACGUACCUGGAGUGGAACAGAAGGCAGACAUACUCACUAAGCCAUUGGCAAGGAUCAAGUUCGAAGCAAUGCGCAAGUUCAUCGGAGUUAAGAAGAUCAACAUACCUAAGAUUCAAGUUGGAAUUAAGGGGGAGAAUGUUGGAUAAUUCCAAUUAACUUAAGGAGCAAGUUAACUCAUUAAAGUGAAGUUUGAUGGGUUAAGGAAAAAGGAAAACAUAUCGAGCUUAGGAAUGUUUCCAUAUUAUUAUUAGGAAAAGAUGUAGCUUCGCUCUUAGGAAAAGAUGUAGCUUCUUCCUAUAUAAAGAGUUCUCAUGGAGAGAUGUUCCAUCAAGAGAAACACAUUGAAAUAUUUAGUUUUGAGAGAGUUUCUAAAUCUAAUAAGAAGAGAAGUUCUUAUAAUCUUUGUGUUUGUGCAACUUUAAGAUAACCGAAAUUUGUAAUAACUUGAGAAAAGUAGUGAUGUCUUUAAGAAUUAAUUAUUCCUUUUCAGUGAAGGAGAUUUUUGUAAUAUAUAUGCUAAGCAUAUAUCAUAAUUUUGUUAUAUAUUUGUUCCUUGCCAUUGUCAUUUUUAAUCUGAAAGUGUAACUAAAGGGUUAUGCUAAAUAAAUGGGAUAAUGAAAUGAGUAAAAAAUACCAUUAGAAUUGGUUAGUCACAAUCUGGUGGAAGCAUAUUGAGAAAAUUACAUUGACCAGUCCUCCUAAAGCAAAGGAGACUAAAAGAGAAAACCGAAGAUGUUAUUAGUUCCUGAAGCUUCCCGGUAGGCACCUAAGAUGAAUAAUCAGAGGAGGAUGGCUAUCUUAUAUAGAUAAUCAAAACACCAGCUGCUCAUAAUCUCACCAAAUGUUGAAAAAAUUGAGUAGAUUUGUGAAUCAAAGGUUAUCGGAGUCUUGGGCGUGCAUUGGACAGAGCGAAAGAAGCGACUCAGUCCUGAGAUGGCACGAGGAAAUAAUAUUCAAUAAAGAGAGAGAGAGCAAGUGACUAGCUACCGUGAUGGUAAGGACUAAAUAUAUCUAUGCUGUUUCAACGUAUUCGUUUAGAAGCUAAGUUAAUUAUCUGUUCUUGUUCUUCAAGGUGACAAGAUAGUAAACCUAACCAUCACUUGGUGGCCUAGUGGUAGGCGAGCUCUAGUGUUGCUAAGCAACCUGGGUUCGAAGGCACCCCGCUACGGUUAAACCAUUUGGUGGCCACCCGGGCCCAUCCUGCUACUUCUGGGGUGGAGUCAACGUGGCUGCUGCGGACCUCGAGGGAUGUUUCGGCCCCGACCUGGGACCCUCGGUUAACAAAAAAAAAAAAAAAAAAAAAAGAAAGAACANNNNNNNNNNNNNNNNNNNNNNNNNNNNNNNNNNNNNNNNNNNNNNNNNNNNNNNNNNNAAAAAAAAAAAAAAAAAAAAAGGAUAGUAAACCUUCCCACCAAAAGGGAGAAAGAAAAUUUAACUUCAAGGUCUCGUAAGAAACCAAAUUUACCGUUUCUUUUCUGCCGCCUGUUAUUCAUAGUCAAAUAGAGUGAGAACAAAAAAAAGUAAAAAAAAAAAAAGAGUGAGAAAAUAAUAAUUUUUGCUCUAGGAGAGAAGUUUUGUGAAUUGAGAUAUUUUUUCAACGAUGAUAAAUUACUAAUAAUAAAUAUUAAUUAACGUGUAUGGAUUUAUAUAAAACGUACAACGCCUUGUUUUUUCUUACUUUGAUCGUAAAAGUUUUUGUUUAUGAUAUGUGUUUGUUUUUCUUUUCUUUUGGAGAUUGGUGAAGUUUUUUUUUCUUUGAAAAAGCUUUUCUUCAGGUUAAUUUUGAUUUUGGAGCUAUCAAAAUUUAAAUUUUAGUCAAAGAAAAAUCAUGGAACAAGUGAGAUAGUAAAGAAUAGAGCUAUGUGUUAAAAUGAUUUGAUUUGAGCCAGUAAUAAAAGAUGGCUGUAUGAUAGAAGACGGCAAAAGAGAAAGUAAUAUAAUUAGAAAUAGUAAGAAAUAGCUGUAUAAUAGGAGAUGAUGGUACGGAAUAUGCUCCAGUUGGUAAAUUUAACUUAAAACUAAAAAUGAUUAUAAAAAUUUAAUUGAGUAAAAUGAAAACCACUAUUUACUAUUUUUUUUAACGCUAAAUAAUUAUGUUAUUACAAAUUAUGAAAAUAUUACAGACGAUUUUACAGCCGACAAUUCUACCUGUAUAUGAGGAGGAUUCAUGCAUGACUGCAUCACGUGAGCCACCCUAUGGAAUCUACGCUUGACGAUACUUUUUGCACCUCGCUGAAGAUCUCUUGUAAGCUUGUUCUCCAUUAAUUCGUAUUUUCUGGGAAUCGAAACCCAGACCUCCUGAUAUAAAAACAUUAAUCAACAUUUAGUCAAACAAAGGUAAGUGACUGAAUUUAAACAUUUAGGUACCUUAGUAAAUUUUCUAUAAAUUAACAUUUUAAAGACACUAGAUAUUUUUUCCGCGCUACGCGCGAAUUACAUCUUUUAACUUUGUUUGAUUUUUUUUUUUUUUGUCUUAGUUGCUUAUUUAUUUUUAAUUUAAUACUUCAAUAUUUUUUGUACUUUAUUUUUUAUAAAUGGAUAAUAUUAUAUUAUUUUAAUGCUAUUUGUUCAAUAUAUCAAAAUUUUAGUUUUAAAAUAGGAUUAUAUUUUAUGAAACCAAAAAAACCACGACAAUAAGGAUCAUGAAGGUAGAGAAAAAUAUUUUUUCUCCUCUUUCGCAGAAUUCUGCUUGUUUCUCAUGUGGGAUGAUGUAAAUGUUUUUUUUAUAUUCUAAUAUCUAAUUUCUAUUUUAAACUUCUAAUAAUUUUUAUAAAUUUAAUUGUAUUGUAUGAAAAAAUCAAAUUAAAAUUAUGUGUUAAUUCUUAUAGAUCAACCAAUAUGUUAAUUAUUUUACUUUAUUAGCUAAAUCUAGAAAUUGUUCAUUUAAAACUUAUAGGAAUCUUUUUUAUUUUAUCAUGACAUAUUUCAAGUGAUCAUUUGGAUAGUUUAUGAUCAAUAACUUUAAAAACGUUAAUAUAUUUUGCAAGUUUCUUUGUAUUUUUUGUUUAAUUCAAUUUUUUUGAAUCAUCAAUUUAUUUGUGUCAUAUUGAGUUAAAAACUUCGUAUAUUUCAUUUGGAUAUUUUUCUUAAAUAUAUGUGAGAGUUUAAAUAAAAUUUAAGAUAACAAUAAUUUUUAAAUUUUGAUAGGGAAAUUCAGCUUUUUAAACACAAGCUUUGAAAAUUUGUUUCUGUUAUUUUACUUAGUUAAUUGUUCAUAAUUUUUAUUUUUUUGUUUUUAAAUUAUAUCAUGGUAUGAUGAUGGCUCAUAUUUCUAUCAAGUCGUGAAGUUAAUCACUGUAUCAAAAGAUUAUAUGAAAAGAAAAAAUGUAACAUGGCCUUCGAAAAUUUCUCCAACUUCAAAUAUGAGAUGCUUUUUCACUAUAACUAUCUUAAAGCCAUAAUAUUUUUUAAUUGAUAAACUGGAAGGUAAAAUAUCAGAUAUGUUUACUUAAUUUUCUUUCUAUCUGUAAUAAUAUUUGAUAAUCUGAAUUUUUACUAAAAUAUUUUUUUACAUACCACACAAUAAUUUUAAAGAAUUUACAUAUACAAUAGUGACUUUCUUUAAAAUUUUAGAAAGUUACAACCGGUGACAAAUCUAGAAUUUAUUUUCAUUCGGGACAUCAGAGUAUAAAAUACAUAAACUACACUUUAUAACCACAAAAAUAAUUCAAAUUUGUUAAGUAACCAACCAAAAUCUCUCUCUUUCUUCCUUUCUCUUUUUUUUCGAGCAAUCUUUCUUCUUUUCUCUAUCUAUAUCUUUAUGUCCCCUUUUUACAAUUUCUUUUUGUUAUUUCACCAUUCACCCGAUAAAAUAACAUAUAAAAAGAGCAAACAUAAAAAGUCUUUAAACAACUUUCACAAAAUCAUAGGUGGCAGCGGCUCCUCCCAAAACCUAAGCAGAUCCGCCAUUGGUCACAGCUCGAAAAUGUUUAUAAGGUUAAUAACCACUUUCUAUUCCAAAUUUUUGAUCAAAUUUUCUAAUAAGUCAACUACUUUGUAUUUUCAACAUCUUUCUCUUUACGGAGUGAUGCUACAGACCAAUAAAAUAAAUUAUAUACAUAUUUUAAUAUUAUAUUAUAUGUAUAUAGUAUUACCAACUAUUUUUUGUUUAUGCAUUAUCCUUAUCAAACAAUGUUAGAAAUUUAUUUGUUUAUGUUUGUUUUUUUUUGUUUUAGUUGAAUUUUUAAAAAAAGUUUCAUCCUCCGUGGUCAAUAACAAUUUGCAUAAUAUAUAAAGCCAAAAACCAAAACGUAAAUAUCUUUUAAUACUUUGUCAUUUUUUUCCUAACUUCUAAGCAAUCAAUCAAUAGUUUCUGAAUCAGAGAUUAACAUUUAAAAAUAAUUGUUUUCCUACUUAUAUAACUUUUCAUUUUCUGUAAAUAAUACGACAACACACACAGAAAAAAUUAAUUAUAUUUUUUUUUAUCAAAUACACCAAGUGUUUGUGUAUUCUAGUGAGGAGUUCAAUUUCCGUCUUGGAUUCAUUGAGUCAUUCUAUUCUCUUAGCAUAUCAGUAACCUUCUGUUAACAGCCCAUGUAAGAGCUGUCAUGCAUAGUUCAAAAUGAGCAUGCUGGUCGUCCAUAAUGUUAUAGACAUUGCAGAUGCUAUAUUGAUCAUAAUGUUAUAGAGAUUGCAGAUGCUAUAUUAAAGGCAUAACAUGAGAAGUAUGUGAUACAUUAACAGAGCAUAGAAAUAAAAAAGUGAAGGAUAAUACCUCUUCAAUCAAAGUGAAGCUCUGCCGUGAGAAGCACUCUUAACUGGAGAAAGACAUUGAUCAAAAACGGCACCUAGAGAUGAUGAUGAAAUUUUUUUUAAGCUCACGUUAGAUGAAUUGUCAUCUGAGGGAACCUCUUUGACUGUUGCAUCAUUUCCCAUUCCGUAGUCCUCCAGCACAGCUUCUUAUUCGUCUAUUGAAAUGCAUCUGCACAAAUUUUUUGAUCAAAAGCAAAGGUUUCAGACUCGUACUUAUCUAUAUGACGGUAAAGAAGGAAAGAGCCGAGAAGAAAUGUGUUGUUUACCCGUUACUGUGUUUGUCAAAUUCUGGACAGUUUUGUGAAGAUUCUCAAUACUUUCAAGCAAUGUUUCAGUAAUGAACUCGAUGCAGUCAGAUUAGCCCGUCCCUAUCAAUAUAAGCCAAAAUCAGAAUUCCCUAGACACAUGAGUUUUUUAUAGAAAAAUAAGGGAAUAGAAGAAUAGGGUGUAUAUGAUAAGCCUAGUUACAAAAAAAAAACUUACAGCAUUCAACAUUCAUGAGCUCCUUCACUUCUGCCUCUGUGAGUCUAGAUCCAAAUUUGGAUAGUCCUUACUUCAGUUCUUCAUAUGUGAUUGUUCCACUGUUGUCUGUGUCUAUGUUAGCAAACAUUGUUUUUUAAAUAUAUCUCAAGCAUUGAAUCUUAAUCUCAGUUUAAAAAUUCUUCGGAUCUAACCUCUCCGUCUCGUAAUGAAGGGUUUCCAUCCUCUUUCGCCAAUUCCAUUGAUCCUUUACUCCACUUGCCUUUCACCCGACUGUGGACCCUGUUUUAUUUAUUUUGGGCUUAGAUCAAUUUGAUAGCUAGCUAAUUUGAUUCAAGCGAAAAGGGGAACAAUAUGGCAUACACAAAGGUUUCAGUGGAGACUCCAAUAUUAUUCUUUCAUUGUGUAGAGACUCUAACAUUUUGUAUGCGAAAAAUCCGUACACACUGACAAAAUGAUACUGGAAUCUCCCCUGACCCAACUCACUUGGUAAGGUUAUGUAAACAAAGUCAGCUAUGUUGAGAGUUAUCACUUGCCCCAAGAUUACCGUAUAAGCACUCUCUCUCCGACCUUGACACCAAGUUGAGAC
rnacentral:lncRNA from 1 species